rnacentral:rRNA from 1 species
AAUAAAUAAAUAAAUUAUACUUAUGAUGUAUAAUUUAGCACUUAGAGACGAAGAAAGGCGUAUAAAAAUCAUAAUAAUCGAAAAGCUUUGGUAAAAAAAAAAUGUAGAUCCAUAGAUUCCUGAAUAGGAAAACCUUAUAAACUAUAUAUUAUAUAUAAGAGAUAAUAUAGUAAAUUGAAACAUCUUAGUAUCUAAUAGAAAAAAAAAUUCUCGUAGUUAUGAUGAAAAAAAAUGAGAUAUAUAUAAAUCUAUACUAUUCUAAUUUUAUAUAUAUGAGAUAUAUAUGAAUCUAUACUAUUCUAAUUAUAUAUAUAUAAUUAGAAUAGUAUGUUUUUGUGAAAUGUUAUUAUAUAUAUAUAUAUAUAUAUAAUGAUAAUGCUUAGGUGAAUUUGGUGAUAUUCCAUACCUUAGAUGGAGCAUAACAGUCCAGUAUCCAAAAACUAAAACAUUUUAUUUUAAUAUUUAUAAUUUAUGUGAACUUUGUAUGAAUUUAUAUUUAUAUAAUAAUACAUAAUACACCUUUUUAGGUAUAAUACUUCUAAGUGUUUGAUAGUGAAAAGUACUGUAGAGGAAAAGUAAAAAAUAAAAAUAAAAUGAAUCAUAAGUUUUCAAGCAGUGGUAAAAAUAUAUUUAAAAUUUUUAAUAAAUAUUUUUGACUGCAUUCCUGUUGAAGAAUGAGCCAGCGAUUUAUAUAUAGUGGCUUGAUUAAGUAAAAAAAAAACACUGUAGUCAUAGAAAAAUCAAGUUUUUUAGAUGGUAAUGUCAAUGUUUAUGUACCCGAACCUAGGUGAUCUAUCCAUGACCAGGAUGAAACUUUAAAAUAAAUUUAAGUGGAAGUCUGAACUGACUGAUGUUGAAUAAACAGCGGAUGAGUCUUGGUUAGGAGUGAAAUGCCACUCGAGCCUAGAGCUAGCUGGUUCUCCUCGAAAUGCGUUUAGGCGCAGCAGUUAGUUUUUUAUUUUAUAUUAUUUUUGUUGGGGGUAAAAAUUAUUUUUUUUAUUUAACUAAAUAAAAAAAAGUAUAAUAAUACUUUAAACAAAAACUAGUGAGAUGAUAGGGGGUAAGCUUUAUCAUCAAGAGGGAAACAGCCCAGAUCACCAGAAAAGGCUCCUAAAAAAAUUAAUAUUAAUAAAAUUGCUUAGUAAAAAAGAAGUAAAAUUGCAUAGACAAUCAGAAGGUUUGCCUGGAAGCAGCAAUCUCUUAAAAGAAUGCGUAAUAGCUCACUGAUUUAGUGUAUUUGUGCUGAAUAAUAUACAAAGGAUAUAAGUGAUAUGCCGAAACUUUGGGAUAAAAAAACUCAGUAGGGGAGCGUUCCACUUACAAAAAUAAAUUUAUUAUAUUUAUUUUGUUUUGGAAGUGAAAAUGUUUGGCUUAAGUAAUGCAAAAAAUGGUUUUUUAUAAAUCCAAUAAUCCCCAAAACCUAAGGAUUCCUUAAAUUAUAUAAUAAUAAAGUAUAAGGGUGAGUCAGAUCUUAAGAUAAGACCAAAUUUAAAGGAGUAGUCGAUAGGUAAACAGGUUAAAAAUCCUGUACUAUUUUUUUUUUUUUUUUUAAUUACUAAGAACGAAAUAAAAUAUAAUUUUUACGAAGUAUGGAUUUUGUUUUAAGGGUGCAAAAAAAAGAUAAAUAAAGUAGAGAAAAUACAUUAUUUUAAAUCUAUACCUGAACUAAGUUAUUAUUAUAAUUUUUUUAAUAUAAUAUUUCCAGGAAAAGUUUGUAUAAUUAAAAAAAAAAAAGUAUCUGUACCUAAAACCUACGUAGGUGGGUAGGUAUAGAAUACCUAGGGAAUCAAGAUAACUAUCUCUAAGGAACUCGGCAAAAUAACCUCGUAACUUUUGGAUAAGGGGUUCCCUUAUAAAAAGGGUUGCAGUUAAUAGAUCCAGACGACUGUUUAUCAAAAACACAAGUCUCCGCAAAGUUGUAAUACUACGUAUUGGGGCUGACACCUGCCCAGUGCCAAAAUGUAAAAAUAUUAGGUUACUAUAUAAUAAGUAAAUAUUAUAUUAUACUACUGGUAAACGGCGGCCGUAACUAUAACGGUCCUAAGGUAGCGAAAUUCCUUGUCGGGUAAGUUCCGACCCGCACGAAAGGUGUAACGAUUUGGGUGCUGUCUUGGAGAUAGGCUCGAUGAAAUAGACAUGUCUGUGAAGAUACGGACUACUUGAACUUGGACAGAAAGACCCUAUGAAACUUUACUGUGUUUUUGGUAUUUUUUUUUUGUAUUUUUAUUGGUGGUAUAUCACUAAAAAAAAAAAAAGUUUUAACCUUAAGUCAAAACUUACGGUCCAAGGUACAGUACAAAAAAUACAGUUUAUAUGGGGCGUAUACCCAACAAAAAUUAACAUGAGGGUGUGCAAAAGGUUUCCUCAAUAAAAAUAAAUAAAAAGUUUUUGAGUUAAAAGACAUAAGGUAACUUGACUGCAAAACCUAUCUUUUGAGCAGGGAUUAAAGUCGGCCUUAGUGAUCUGAGGGUUACUACUAUAGUGUUUAGGCCCUCACUAAACGGAUAAAAGUUACUCUAGGGAUAACAGGCUUAUCUUUUCUAGUAGUUCAUAUCCAAGGAAAGGUUUGGCACCUCGAUGUCGGCUCUUCGCCACCUGGGGCUGUAGAUUUUGUUCCAAGGGUUGGGUUGUUCACCCAUUAAAGCGGUACGUGAGCUGGGUUCAGAACGUCGUGAGACAGUUCGGUCCAUAUCUAGUUCAGGCAUUAGAGCAUUUUUGGAUAUAUUUCUUAGUACGAGAGGACCAGAAAAAAUAAAAAAAAUAAAUACCCAUGAUGUAUCCAGUUAUUAUGCCCAUAGUAAACGCUGGUUAGUUAAGUAUAUAAGAGAUAAUUGCUGAAAGCAUAUAAGUUUUAAGCUCACCUUAAGAUAAAUGCUCUAUA